AUACGGAGGGUGCGAGCGUUAAUCGGAAUUACUGGGCGGAAAGGGUGCGUAGGCGGCUUGAUAAGUCGGAUGUGAAAGCCCCGGGCUUAACCUGGGAAUUGCAUUCGAUACUGUCAGGCUAGAGUAUGUCAGAGGUUGGCGGAAUUCCUGGUGUAGCGGUGAAAUGCGUAGAAAUCAGGAGGAACACCAGUGGCGAAGGCGGCUAACUGGGGCAAUACUGACGCUGAGGCACGAAAGCGUGGGGAGCAAACAGGAUUAGAAACCCUAGUAGUCC
rnacentral:rRNA from 1 species